GACGAACGCUGGCGGCGUGCUUAACACAUGCAAGUCGAACGAAAAGAGGGAAAGAGCUUGCUCUUUCCGGAAUUGAGUGGCGAACGGGUGAGUAACACGUAAACAACCUGCCUUCAGGAUGGGGUCAACAGACGGAAACGACUGCUAAUACCGAAUACGUUCCACGUGCCGCGUGUCCCAUGGAAGAAACGGUGGCCUCUACCUGUAAGCUAUCGCCUGUAGAUGGGUUUGAGUCGGAUUAGCUGGUUGGUGGGGUAACGGCGCACCAAGGCGGCGAUCAGGAGACGGACUGAGAGGAUGAAUGGCCAGACUGGAAGUGAGACAGGGGCCAGACUCCUAGGGGAGGCAGCAGUGGGGAAUCGUGCGCAAUGGGCGAAAGCCUGACGGAGAAACGCGGCGGGAGGGAGGACGGACUUCGGGUUGUAAAACUCUGUGAUCCGGGACGAAAAGGCAGAGUGCGAAGAACAAACUGCAUUGACGGUACCGGAAAAGCAAGCCACGGCUAACUACGUG
rnacentral:rRNA from 1 species